GAUGAACGCUGGCGGCGUGCCUAAUACAUGCAAGUCGAGCGAACAGACGAGGAGCUUGCUCCUUCGACGUUAGCGGCGGACGGGUGAGUAACACGUAGAUAACCUACCUAUAAGACUGGGAUAACUUCGGGAAACCGGAGCUAAUACCGGAUAAUAUUUUGAACCGCAUGGUUCAAUAGUGAAAGAUGGUUUUGCUAUCACUUAUAGAUGGACCUGCGCCGCAUUAGCUAGUUGGUAAGGUAACGGCUUACCAAGGCAACGAUGCGUAGCCGACCUGAGAGGGUGAUCGGCCACACUGGAACUGAGACACGGUCCAGACUCCUACGGGAGGCAGCAGUAGGGAAUCUUCCGCAAUGGGCGAAAGCCUGACGGAGCAACGCCGCGUGAGUGAUGAAGGUCUUCGGAUCGUAAAACUCUGUUAUUAGGGAAGAACAAAUGUGUAAGUAACUAUGCACGUCUUGACGGUACCUAAUCAGAAAGCCACGGCUAACUACGUG
rnacentral:rRNA from 1 species